CCUGGACCGGGCUGCGAACCCGACGUGGGGCUGACCCGACCCUGAGCCUUGUUUAGAGCCAGAGUCCCGACUGAGAUCCAGGGCCGAUGGGUUCCUUCCUGGCUCCUACCUCUACGCACGGUUUGAACCGAUACUCCGUGUAAGCGAAGUCCUGACUGGGAGUUGAGCUCAGUCAGGAAACCAGGACUUAUUUCUAACGGUCAGUGAGAUGUGAAUCGAGACUCGGAGCAAAAAUCUUGUCAGCCAAAGACCCGAUCCCGCCUGGGACUAAGCAGGAAUGGGGUGGGAUGGGGGAUCCCGAAGCACAGGUAAGUCUACAACUCGAGCAAGGUAAAGCCAGCUGGCGUUGAAAUCAGACCGUGAACCCGAUCUGAUGGCUCGGCUUCAGAUGUGCUUCGGGUCGGUGGUUUUACGAGCUCCUUGCUGCGUCUUCCCUUAAAAGUGACGGGGCAGGAACCGGAAUCUGGGAUCUCUCAGCUAGAUAAAAGUACGUAUUCAAUCUUAACCCGUGAGUGGUUGGAAGUCAUUGUGCAGUCAGAUGUGAGAGCUCCAGCCUGGAAUGAAAACGGGAAAGGGCAUGCUAAGGAAAAGGUUUCGGUUUCUCUGUGAAGCAAGAUCUAUUUCCCAUCCAUUUCCUGAACGUAAAAAUUGCGCUGGGUUAAGACCGUGUGAUCGCAUCAGCCCCUACACAACAGUGCUGAAACUGUUUCUGUUUCUUUGGGCACCCGAAUUUGACAAAAAGGGAAACGGCUAGAAGGGAAGUGGGAUGAUGUAAGAAAAUAGGGGUAAACUCGAGGAGAAUGGAAUGGGAUUGUCAAGGUAUGGUCACUGUCGAACGUUAAUCCAAUUGCAUCCACAACCAAGCAGGAUGGUGAGGGACAUACAGGUCCGAAGAAAUCUGGGUGAAUGGAAACGUGUUUUUCCUUACUGUUCUUAUACUUUAGUGGAGGUGCCAGCUGCGAAGGUGAAGUCUAAACUGAAGGGGAAGUAACUUUGAGGGGAUUGUUGAAAUUACUGAUGAGAACGAUGCUUUCUUGACACCAAUUAAUAUAGGCAACAAUACCCUGUCAGUUCUUUGAUGUAUGUUUUCUCAGAUGAGGAGAGGAUCCAUGUCGGCCCUGCAAACAUCAGUUUCUUCUGCUUGCUUCUGGUUUCAGUACUGUUUUACAAUUUCAUUAGUAAAGUGGAUGAGGAAAUAGGCAAAGUGCUCCUGAAGCUUUGUGAAUGGCGUUGGGUUGUGGUGAGGAAAUGGAGAAAGUGCUCCUGAAGCCUGUGAAUGAAGUUGAGUUGGCUAGUGCCUCAGCACAUUACAGGAUAACUCCUAACAAGAGCCAUACCCACUGAAAAAUGUGGUUAAGUGCACCUGACUGAGGUACACGUUAGCAUUUUAAAUGUCUUUGUCAACAGAGAGAAUUAGACCAUGAACUGAUUUGUGGCUUGUUCAUUGUGUAGGAGCUUUAGCCAGACAACUUGCUGUGUCUUCCCUUCAAAGAAAUAAUAAAGCCUGUGUGAGCAGAAUAACUGGUGAAAUAAUAAUUGUAAAACAAACAUAGAAAUAAGUGAUUCAGACAUUUGUGAAAUAGACUGUAGGUUGAAUGUCUUAAGUCAAUGAAUGCUACUAACUCAUUCAAAAGUUAGUAAAAUCUAGCUGCAGAGUAACCUCUCUCUCUUGAUUUUUCCAGACAGACAGGGUUUCUCUGUGUAGCUUGGAGCCUGUCCUGAAUCUGUAGGCCAGGCUGGCCUCUAACUCACUGCUGGCAGCCUCUUUCUCUUAACUGCAAGUACAGCACAGAAUCUAGGGUGCUAUGUUUCAGGAUAAGUAUCAGAUGGAAAACAGAUCAGAGAAAGCAAUGAAAAUUAUUUAAUGGGAUGGAAAAUGCAUUGUUAUAAUAUGACCAACUUCAAAAUAUUCCUGGGAUUGGGGAAAUGGCUAGCACCCACAUAAAAAUCUGGGCAUGGUGGUGCACAUCUGUAACCCCAUUGAUGGGAAGGUAGAGACAGGCAGACCCUUGGAGCUCACCACAUAGCCAAUGUAGCCAAAUCCGUGAGUUCCAGGUUGUAAGAGUCCCUGUCUCAAAAGAUAAUAAGGUGGCUCAGUGCGGUGGUACUCAGGAGGUAGAUCUGUGAGUUUGAGGCCAGCAUUGUCUAUGUAAUAAGGGAUUCCUGCCAGGGUCCCACGAUGGAAUCCCGAAACAAGACUCUGUCUCAAUAAACAAACAAGGUGGAAAGUGGUUGAGGAAGAUAUCCAAGAUGGAUCUGCCCCCCCCCCCCCCACAUACACACUUCACAUAUCCAUAUAAACAUGUACUGGUGCCACACAGAAAGGGAAGAAAAAGGGUGUUACUACUACCUAUCAGUUUGACAGUUGUAUUAUGUUACAAAAUAUCAGGAGACUCUCCUUACUCUAUAAUGCUGCUUUGCUUGUAAACAUGAUUAUAAAUUUCCUUGUUAGAAAUGCUUCUAGAGCUGGGCAGUGUGGCGUAUGCCUUUAAUCCCAGCACUACAGAGGCAGAGGCAGGAGGAGAGGCCAGCCUAGUCUACAGAGCAAGUUACAGGACAGUUAGGCUACACAGAGAAAUCCUGUUUUGAAAACAAUAAAUGCCUCUAGAAUAUCCUUAAUGGGGGCAAAUCUUUGUCCUAUGACAAGACUCGACAGAGACCACAGAGUCAAAUAUGGCUCGUUAGACUGGGCCAUACUGCUUGCUUGCAGACACAAGGAGGGCCUGGCAAACAAAUCCCUGAUUUACUUCUAAGACUUGUAAAUUGAGGAGACACAGGAGAAGGGAGUUGCAAAGGUGUGUUGCAUAACCAGUAAGUUAUGUCUAGGCUACCAAGGUUAACUAUUUUGAUUAACAGUUCCUAAUCACCUGAAUAUGUUUUAGGAUUUGCAUUUUUAAAGACUUGACAAUACAGUAUUUCAGUCUUGCCUCUAAACCCUGCACUAAAGAAUUGGUUAUUUGAUUUGAAGAACAAAUGCCUAAGAGUCUUAAAAAAUGCAAAGGCUUAUCUUAGAAAAAUCAUUUCUCCUUGUUCUUAAUGCUGGGAAUCAAAUAAUGAGAAGGUGGCCUGGUGUGAGUUAGUGUCCCACUGUGUAAUGUUUUUGUGCAGGUGUGAAUGUAACUCAAAUCCCUUCUCUUAGAAAGGGCUUCCUGGUUUGUUUAUCUCCUGGCAGCUUUUCCAUGGGUGAUGAAGAGGAAAAGCAGCCCAACCCACCCCUAAGACUAGACUGGAGACAGGUGUCAGUGUUGGAGUCUAAAGGGAUACCACAGUGUUUGCAAAUGAAUGCCGACAUUGUCUCUUGGCAUUCAGGCCUGUGUCUUCCUAGCCACUUACCAGGGUCAAGUUGACUUAAAAUAUCCUUGGGAAGGACCAUGGGAAGUCAACAUAGCCCUGCUAGGCCAUGGUUAUCAAGCCUGCCAUUCCCAUGAUCAUAAUAGGGAGCCUUGGAAAUCCAGAUAAAUCACAGUUUCCUUUUCUAGGCUUCAGAGGCAAGCAGCAGACUUUGUAGGGACAGGCUCUGAAACCCAGAACAGCCGCAGAACCAUUCUGAGUCGUCUGGCUGCUUCCCCUGUGCGAGGGACCAUCUGGGGCUCUGCAGUGGAAAAGCAGGUUUAUUAUUUUUCAAACUGCAUAUAAUGUGUUUGUGUCGGGGGAAGAGUAUGUCCACAUGGAUUCCAGAAGAAGGCAUUGGAUUCCCUGGAGCUGGAAUUACAGUUAUAAGCCACCCAACAUGGGUAACUGGAAACGGACUUUGGGUCCUCUGAAAGCGCAGUACAUCUCUCCAGCGCUUGUGCGCAUAUGUUUGUGUGUGUGGGGAGGGGGAAGGGGGGGUUGAGCAUGUCUAUAGCACACUUGUGGAGAUCAGUUCUUUCCACCGUAUCCAUUCCAAGGGUGAAACUCAGCUGGUCAGCAUUGGUGGCAAGUGACUUUACUCACUGAGGCAUCUCACUUGUUCGGAUUUCCCAAAUUUUUGUAAACUUUGUGGAUAUUCUACAAGAGUUUACUACCCACACUUUCAUCCCAGUCAUUAAUCUUCAAAGGGUUGUAUUUUGUGAAGACUGGUUUUAUUUGCCAAGGCCAUUUUGAGGAUCCAGUCGAUUUAGAUAAGUCUGAAUGGUCCUUCAAUUUUAAAGGUUAGUUUGGUUUUCCCAUCUCCACAGUUUGGGGCCAGGGUCUCUCCCAAGAGGCAUCUGUUUGGAAUGCUAUUUCUAUCAAGACUUUAACAUGUGGACCCAGCUGCCAAAGCCAAAUGGUCUG